ACCUGCAUUCGAAAGUGAUUUAGGUCUGGUGUGUGACCUGAUCAUUGAUAGUGCAGGAAGAGGAAUUUUGAAAGCGUUUCCCGUGUUUGGUGGGUUCAGUACCGUCCCUCCCAAACCCUGUAGCUUUCAGACA
ensembl:snoRNA SNORA71 Small nucleolar RNA SNORA71